GCCCCAUAGUCUGGGAUACCACUUGGAAACAGGUGCUAAUACCGGAUAAGAAAGCAGAUCGCAUGAUCAGCUUUUAAAAGGCGGCGUAAGCUGUCGCUAUGGGAUGGCCCCGCGGUGCAUUAGCUAGUUGGUAAGGUAAAGGCUUACCAAGGCGAUGAUGCAUAGCCGAGUUGAGAGACUGAUCGGCCACAUUGGGACUGAGACACGGCCCAAACUCCUACGGGAGGCAGCAGCU
rnacentral:rRNA from 1 species